rnacentral:rRNA from 1 species
UGCAGUCGAACGGCAGCACGGGAGCAAUCCUGGUGGCGAGUGGCGAACGGGUGAGUAAUGUAUCGGAACGUACCUUUCAGUGGGGGAUAACGUAGCGAAAGUUACGCUAAUACCGCAUAUUCUGUGAGCAGGAAAGCAGGGGAUCGCAAGACCUUGCGCUGAUUGAGCGGCCGAUAUCAGAUUAGCUAGUUGGUGAGGUAAAGGCUCACCAAGGCGACGAUCUGUAGCGGGUCUGAGAGGAUGAUCCGCCACACUGGAACUGAGACACGGUCCAGACUCCUACGGGAGGCAGCAGUGGGGAAUUUUGGACAAUGGGGGCAACCCUGAUCCAGCCAUGCCGCGUGAGUGAAGAAGGCCUUCGGGUUGUAAAGCUCUUUCAGCCGGGAAGAAAUCACAUGGGUUAAUACCCUGUGUGGAUGACGGUACCGGAAUAAGAAGCACCGGCUAACUACGUGCCAGCAGCCGCGGUAAUACGUAGGGUGCGAGCGUUAAUCGGAAUUACUGGGCGUAAAGCGUGCGCAGGCGGUUUGUUAAGAUAGGCGUGAAAUCCCCGGGCUCAACCUGGGAACUGCGUUUAUGACUGGCAGGCUAGAGUAUGGCAGAGGGGGGUGGAAUUCCACGUGUAGCAGUGAAAUGCGUAGAGAUGUGGAGGAACACCGAUGGCGAAGGCAGCCCCCUGGGCCAAUACUGACGCUCAUGCACGAAAGCGUGGGUAGCAAACAGGAUUAGAUACCCUGGUAGUCCACGCCCUAAACGAUGUCAACUAGGUGUUGGGUGGGUAAAACCAUUUAGUACCGGAGCUAACGCGUGAAGUUGACCGCCUGGGGAGUACGGCCGCAAGGUUAAAACUCAAAGGAAUUGACGGGGACCCGCACAAGCGGUGGAUGAUGUGGAUUAAUUCGAUGCAACGCGAAAAACCUUACCUACCCUUGACAUGUCCAGAAGCUCUUAGAGAUUUGAGUGUGCCCGAAAGGGAACUGGAACACAGGUGCUGCAUGGCUGUCGUCAGCUCGUGUCGUGAGAUGUUGGGUUAAGUCCCGCAACGAGCGCAACCCUUGUCGUUAAUUGCCAUCAUUCAGUUGGGCACUUUAACGAGACUGCCGGUGACAAACCGGAGGAAGGUGGGGAUGACGUCAAGUCCUCAUGGCCCUUAUGGGUAGGGCUUCACACGUCAUACAAUGGUCGGUACAAAGGGUUGCCAACCCGCGAGGGGGAGCUAAUCCCAGAAAGCCGAUCGUAGUCCGGAUCGUAGGCUGCAACUCGCCUGCGUGAAGUCGGAAUCGCUAGUAAUCGUGAU